CUUCAUUCACACCUUCAUCUUUUUCUUCCUCUGCCUAUAUUAAUGUCUGCAAAAUAUGACAAUUUGGUGGGCUUAAAAGUUUCUUGGGCCGCGAUAACAAUUUGGACCUCGAAACCGAUUCACCAAGGUUCCGCUUCUAAAUUUAUGGAGGAUAGACGAUGUGGAAAAUUGAAGGACUCCGUCAAUGUGCUAAAUUCCACACAAAUUCAUAACGAUAAAGUUGAAGAAGACCAAAUUGUUAGAGAAGAGGUAUCUUAUUUUUUUGCAUGUUCUGUGUCUUGCAUGUUUAGUUGAAUUUGCUUAGUAACUUUAAAGAUUCAAAUAAAUACAUGUUACAAUGCGUUUGUACUAUUAUAGAAUAGAUUUGGAAGUGUAUACGAAAUUUUGAUUUUGUUAGAGUUAUUAUGUAUUUUUGUAUUUCAUAUAUUUAUUGUAUUUUGUAUUCUGAUUAUUUUUGUGUGUUAGUUAUGUCAAUGAAACACAUAUUAUGCGUUUG